GUCGUGCACCCACGAGCUCGUCUAACCGCCUCCAGGACUGCUUGCUCCAGCCGCUGCUAGCUCUGGGCGGCGAGCGGAACGGUGGUGGUGUCGACGAGGGAGACUCUUCCCCUUGGUGCCCUCGGCUCCUCCCAGCAAGUCGCCACCUCUCUUCUCCUCAGUUAUGGCUGACUAGGAACACACGGCAGCGACCAUAGGAGGGCAGAGCUUCGGAGAUACACCGGGAGCCUGGAAGAAGAAGGUCAUCGGUCGUCUCGGAUAAGCCUGGAUAUGGGAGAAAACAGCAGCAUGAAACUCCAGUUGCUUGACGCUAUUACAAACAAUUUUGGAGAGGAGCAUAAAGUUGGCAGUGGCACGUAUGGGGAUGUUUACAAGGUGGUGCUUGAUAAUGGGGCCUAUAUUGCUCUGAAGAAGCUUCAUCAAUUACAAGGAUUUGAUGAUAACCAAUUUCAAAGUGAAUUCCGUAACCUUGUCAAGGUCUCUCACAAAAACAUUGUACGCAUAACUGGCUACUGCCUCGAUUGUCGGAGUAAAGGCCUGUUCGUCAAUCCACCGAUCCGAGAAAUACGAGAAUCUACGCAGCGUCUCUUUCUCCACUCCCUAUUUUCAACUGAAGCUCGGGCCGCUCCGGGAGCGGAGUCGUGCGGAGCGGCGAGACUCCGAACAGGCCUUAAAUACAUGGAGCACAAGGGGGAACUUGUUUUUGCUCAAAUAAUGGAGAGAGUUUUCCGCGUCGAGUAUAUGCAUGGCGGGAGCCUCGAUAAACAUAUUGCAGGUAUAUAUGGUUUAGUAGUUUCACAUGUCUAACAAAUAUGACCAUUGUUUCCUUCAUAUUGCAGAUGAAUCUUGUGAACUUGAUUGGCCCAUAUGUUACAAAAUCAUUAAAGGGACGUGCGAAGGGUUAAAUCACCUUCACACCAAGCAGGAAAAGCCCAUUUUCCAUCUGGAUUUAAAGCCUUCUAACAUAUUGCUGGAUGAGAACAUGACGCCCAAAAUUUCAGAUCUUGGUUUGUCCAUACUUGUUUCUUCGACAAAAACACACAAAACAGAGAUACUCAAAGGCACACAAGGGUACAUGCCGCCAGAAUACAGAGAUGGUGGCUUGGUAUCCAACAAGUUUGACGUGUUCAGUUUGGGCAUCAUAAUUAUAAAAACAGUGGCUGGCAAUAUGGGCUACUUCCGCUAUUCUGAAAUGUCUCCCAAAGAUUUUAUUGAGUUUGUAAGUGAAAAUUGGAUGAAGAGGUGGCAGGCAAUGCCGGGUUACUAUUCAUCACACGAAAUAGACAUCCUAACAGUGAUUACAUGUAUUGAGACUGCUUUAAGAUGUGUGGAGACCGACCAAGAAAAGAGACCCUGCAUAGAGGAUAUUGUCCAUGAACUGGAUGAACUAGAUGCUGAGAUUAAGAGAAUAAGGUUACUAGCUCCUGAUCCUAUGCAGAUUCUCUUGAGUAAUCAAGGACCUGGCAUGGAUUUUCCAAAAAUUUCUAGGCUAUGUAUGGCCCAUAACUUGGCCCAAUAUAAGCGCAUCCUGGAUUUUAAAUUCAGUUUGAUUGAAGCAAUUACAAACGGGUUUUCAGAUGAUCAGAAAAUUGGGAGUGAUUGGUAUGGAGAUGUUUACAGGGCAUUGUAUAACGGGGAAGAGAUUGUUGUGAAGAAGCUUCAUUCCUUGGAGGGACUUGAUGACAAAGAAUUUGAGAAUGAAAUGCAUAUCCUUACCAAGGUCCAUCACAAAAAUGUUAGUCGGUUAAUUGGCUACUGCUACAAAACAUGCCUUAUAAAUGUUGAGCACAAUGAGGAACAUGCUUCCUCAGUGGCAACAGAGCGAGUCCUAUGCUUUGAAUAUACAAAAAGUGGAAGCCUUGAUAAACAUAUUGCAGACGAACCUUGCCGACUUGAUUGGUCCACACUUUACAAAAUUAUUAAAGGGACUUGUGAGGGCUUAAAUCACCUUCUCAGUGCACAGCAAAAACCUAUUCUCCAUCUAGACUUGACACCUGCUAACAUUUUUCUGGUUAAUGGCAAGACACCUAAAAUUAUAGGUUUUGGUUUGUGGAGACUUAUUGAUUCGGCAAAAAUGCAUCAAACAGAGAUCUUCAAAGAAACACACGGGUACAUGCCACCGGAAUAUGUCGACACUGGCUUUAUAUCAAACAAGUUUGACGUGUUCAGUUUGGGCGCCAUAAUUAUAAAGCUGAUGGCCGGAAAUAUGGGCUACUCUCGUUGUUUCGAAAUGUCUCACAAAGAGUUUAUUCAACAUGUUAGUGACAAUUGGACGAAAAGGUUGCAUGCAAUGCCAGGAUACUCACCAUACGAAAUAGGCAUCCUACGAGUGAGUACAUGUGUUGAGAUUGCAUUAAGAUGUGUGGACAACGACCGAGAGAAAAGGCCAUGUAUAGAAGACAUUGUUCAUAAACUGGGGGAACUAGAAGCUAGGAUUAAGACAAUAAUGUUACUACCUCAUGAUCAUAGGCGGGGUCUCUUGACUAACCUGGGCCCUGUCCCGUACUUUCGAAAACAUAUCAGGCUAUAUAUGUCCCACAACUUGGCCCAAGAUGGAGCAGUUACAGGGUAUAAAUCUAAUCGGCUUAGGCUUGAUUCUCAGUCAGGCUCCACUAGUACUACUCAUGGACGUAAGUCAGAAGACCCAAGUCUCCAGACCGGAUGCAUUCCACACCAUAUGUCAUUACAGCAUUUGAAAGACAUCACAAACAAUUUCUCUGAUGAUCGAAUAAUUGGUAGAGGUGGGUUUUCUGUGGUAUAUAAGGGAAUACAACCAAGUGAGGAAAUGGUUGCAGUGAAGAAGUUUGUGCAACCAACGAGCUCACAGGAGGAAUUCGAGAACGAGCUUAAACUCCUUAUGGAACUGAAGCACCCAAAUAUAGUGCAACUUGCAGGCUACUGCUAUGAAACGCGGAAACUACAUAUGUUUCAUGAAGGAGAAUACAUUUUUGCUGAGGACACUCAAACUUUGCUCUGUUUAGAAUGUCUGCCUAAUGGAAGUCUUGAGAACUAUAUUUCAGAUGCAUCUUCUAGACUUCAUUGGUGCACACGCUACAAAAUAAUUGAGGGGAUUUGUUGUGGUCUACAAUACCUUCAUGAGCAAUCUAAAGAUCCCAUUCUUCAUUUGGACCUAAAACCCGCGAACAUAUUGCUUGAUAAAAAUAUGUUACCAAAAAUUACAGACUUUGGUCUGUCAAGACUGUUUGAUCAAAGCCAAACUAUUCAUACUGCACGUACUUGUGGAACACUAGGUUACAUGGCACGAGAAUUUCUACAAGGUAUAAUCACACCUAUGUCAGACAUAUUCAGUUUGGGUGUAAUAAUUUUGGAGGUAAUAACGGGUCACAAGGGGUACCCAGAUGAUAUUAGAACAUCUUCCAAGAUCUUCAUCGAGCCCGAACUUCAAAAAUGGAGAAAUGUGCUGCAAAAUGAACCAGGGUAUAGAUCAAUCGAAAAGGAUUGCCAACAAAUAAAAAGAUGCAUUCAGAUAGGCCUAAUCUGCGUGAAUCAUGACCGGACCAAAAGGCCUACAAUGAAGAAAAUUAUCGAUAUGCUUCAAGGCUUGGAAAGUAUGAAUUGGCACAUUAGCAACGAGUUAUCAAGCCAUGACAUCCAGCCGGAGGUUUAGCUCAGCGAAGGAGGUCUUCACAUAUCCGCUGCUUCUACCGUCUUCCUGUUAUUCGUUCGACAGGGCUUUGGAUCUCCGUUCAUGCUACAUUGCAAUUGGCGCUUAUGUUUGACAGCCGGCUAUCCAAGCUAUCAAUUUGUUCUAGCUAGUGCAUAUCACAUAUCUGAAUUUUUUGCUGGUUCCUGGAGACAUAUGCAGUACUACCUACGGACAUGGUUGCGACAUAAGGGUGGAAGGCAUCAAAGUCUUUGGGAGCUGGUGUAACUCAAUUAUCAGCACCUGUUAAUUAGGCCGAGAGUCGGAAUAAGAAAUCAGUAGGCAAGGGGAACAAGAAAUCUGUUGCCGGAGCUGUACAUAAUAGCGGUUAAUCCAAUACCUUUGGACUUUGGUAUAUGCAUAGUCUGUAAGUAACAAACAUUUAUCUCGCUGCACCGGAUCAAAACCCCCAUCUGCUACGUCACCUAGAUGUUCUAGCCCAUCAGACCUGAACCUGGGUCGCCGUCGUGUGGGCGCCGGUGUUGUUGUGCGUGAUCAUGGCAGAUUUUAUUUUUGGACGGGCUGUCACUGCUCGCUACUCUUUUGAGAACGUCUGUAACAUUGAUCUUGUUGAAGCCUGGGCGGUAUGGCAUGCUGUACUUUCUGCGAAAGAUUCAGGAUUUGACAGGGUCAUCUUAGCUUCAGACUGUCUUUCUUCUUUCAAGGGCUGGCAAAUGUAUACGAGCAGAGAGGGUUUGAGCUCUCAUCACUCAUGUUCUACCAGUACAGUUUUAUUUUGGCAUAAAAAUGCUCCUGAC
rnacentral:rRNA from 1 species